rnacentral:rRNA from 1 species
UACAGAGGUGGCAAGCGUUGUUCGGAUUCAUUGGGUGUAAAGGGUGCGUAGGCGGUUUGAUUAGUCAGAUGUGAAAGCCCACAGCUUAACUGUGGAAUUGCAUCUGAAACUGUCAGACUAGAGUGUGAGAGAGGUAAAGGGAAUUCCCGGUGUAAGGGUGAAAUCUGCAGAGAUCGGGAGGAACACCAGUAGCGAAGGCGCUUUACUGGCUCACAACUGACGCUGAGUGCACGAAGGCAUGGGUAGCGAACGGG